rfam:Pelodiscus sinensis unplaced genomic scaffold scaffold49, whole genome shotgun sequence.
AUACAGGCUCUUUUAAGAGCCCCCCCACGCUUUCUCAAUAAGAGCUG